rnacentral:rRNA from 1 species
GACGAACGCUGGCGGCGUGCCUAACACAUGCAAGUCGAACGGGACCAGGGGCAACUCUGGUUCAGUGGCGGACGGGUGCGUAACACGUGAGGAACAUGACCUUCGGCGGGGGAGUAGCCGGCCCAACCGGCCGGGUAAGUACCGCGUACGACCACAUGGGGACGAUCCCUGAGUGGUGAAAGCAGCAAUGCGCCGAUGGAGUGCCUCGCGGCCUAUCAGCUAGUUGGUGA